UACGUAGGGGGCUAGCGUUGUCCGGAAUCAUUGGGCGUAAAGCGCGUGUAGGCGGUCCGGUAAGUCCGCUGUGAAAGUCGGGGGCUCAACCCUCAAAUGCCGGUGGAUACUGUCGGGCUAGAGUGCGGAAGAGGCGAGUGGAAUUCCUGGUGUAGCGGUGAAAUGCGCAGAUAUCAGGAGGAACACCAAUUGCGAAGGCAGCUCGCUGGGACGUUACUGACGCUGAGACGCGAAAGCGUGGGGAGCAAACGGG
rnacentral:rRNA from 1 species